UCUCCCGAAGCCGCGGGCGCCACAGUUGGUGAAGGGAAUCAUCCACUCUUCUCUCCCACGACUCGUCUUCGCCCCCACGGAUUACGCAUCUCGCCUCGCCCCCAUGGCCGAUCUCCACCCGCCGGAGCCUGACACCAACGGCGGCAGCGCCGCCGCCGCCGCCGCCGCUGCCGCUGCCGCCGCGCCGCUCGGGGACCCCGCCGCGGAAGCCUCCGGAGCGCAGGCCGCCGCCGGGCCGCCGUACUCCAAGCGCCGCCGCCGCCCCAGCGUCCGCCUCGGCGACAUCGGCGUCCACUCCGCCGCCGCCGCCGACGUCCCGCUCCCGCAGCGCCGCCACCACAAAACCUCCUCCUCCUCCCACCCCCGCCCGCCCCGCCGCGCCCACCCGGAGGACGCCCUUGACCCCCUCAACCACUCCUCCGCCGCCGCCCACCGCCGCGGCCAGAAGCCCGCUCAGCGCCGGCCGCGCACCGCCUGGAUCCCGGCUGCUCCCGGCACCGACGGAUACGAGGAAGAAGCGGAGCAUUACUAUGAUGAUGCCGACCAGUCCGACUCGGCCGCCGCCGCCGCUGCCAGGGCUAGGGUUUCGGGGAGCCGCGACGCCAGCGGCGACGAGUCGGACGGCGUGGCGGAUUGGGGUCUCCCGAACGGCCGGCUCCCUGGGUCCAUGGGGUAUGGUGGCGUGAAGGCGUGGCUGGAUGGACUUGGGCUCUCUCGGUACGCGCCAGUGUUCGAGAUCCACGAGGUAGACGACGAGGUGCUCCCGCUGCUAACGUUGGAAGAUCUCAAGGACAUGGGCAUCGGCGCCGUUGGGUCGAGGAGGAAGUUGUAUGCCGCCAUCCAGAAGCUCCAGAGGAGCGACAGCGUUUCCUGAGUUGGUUAUCCUUAAUACCUCCUGGUUUAAGACAUUCUGGAUGGCGGCCUGACAUGAAGGUUGGAACGAUAGGCCGAAGUGUAACCUUUUGUGGCAUGGUGGUGGCUGAUAGUACCACAAUGGCAGAUUGGCAAUGACAGAACUGCAGAAUAAUACAGUGUAGCCAUAGAGGAUGCCUUUGGUACAUACAAGCGCCACCAAGGAAGGAGCUUCUGACUUUGGCUGGAGGCAGCGUGUUUGGCACAACAAGAAUAUUUGGCCCUUGACAAGCAAAAGGUGGCGAUCAACGGAUCAUUGGCCUGCUGGAUGUGAGAAUGUGAGAUGUGUAUCUGUGCACCUUAGCUUUUUGGAGGGCAUCCGGGGAUUUGGAUUUUAUAUUCUUCUCUGCAAAUUUCUCAACGAGUUUGUCACAUUUGCUUGCUUAUUUGGGUUGACCCAUGGAUGGACACCCCUCAGCCACUUGGGUUCCAUUCCCCAGCCACAUGAAUGAAUUUGCUCUCGUGUGACCGGGCAUAUCGAAUAUGGUACAUGUGAAAGAAGAGCAUAGCAUGGUAUGGAGGAAUGAGAUAAGUAUCAGAUCACCUACAAUAAGGAUCAGAUCAAGCCAUCACCCUGGUCAGGUCCGUCGUGACUGUACAUGUUCCGAAGAAUGGCAAAAAGUAUCGGAUAAAAAGAGCAGAUCAUCAGACUAGCUGAGCCUGGCAUGCGUUAUGGCCGGCUUUUGAAGAGCCUACUAGGCGAGUAGACUUUCGACAGGUCUGCCUAUCUAAGGAUUGAUGAGGGCUCAAUUAUAUGAUUCACUCUGUCAGUCUCCUACUAUUCUUGUUCCAUCCUCCAUCUGUGGCAAAACACAUUUACAGGCCACUCUAGUCUAAUCUGCCUCCUGUGGAAUCA